CAAGUCGAACGAGAAAGGGUAGCAAUACCUGAGUAAAGUGGCGCACGGGUGAGUAACACGUGACUAACCUACCCUGGAGUGGGGGAUAACUGAGGGAAACCUUAGCUAAUACCGCAUAACACCUACGGGUCAAAGGAGCAAUUCGCUUCAGGAGGGGGUCGCGGCCGAUUAGUUAGUUGGCGGGGUAAUGGCCCACCAAGACGAUGAUCGGUAUCCGGCCUGAGAGGGCGCACGGACACACUGGAACUGAAACACGGUCCAGACUCCUACGGGAGGCAGCAGUGGGGAAUUUUGCGCAAUGGGGGAAACCCUGACGCAGCAACGCCGCGUGGAGGAUGAAGUCCUUCGGGACGUAAACUCCUUUCGAUCGGGACGAUUAUGACGGUACCGAGAGAAGAAGCCCCGGCUAACUUCGUGCCAGCAGCCGCGGUAAUACGAGGGGGGCGAGCGUUGUUCGGAAUUAUUGGGCGUAAAGGGUGCGUAGGCGGUUUGGUAAGUCUUAUGUGAAAUCUACAGGCUCAACUUGUAGUCUGCAUGAGAAACUGCCGGGCUUGAGUAUGGGAGAGGUGAGUGGAAUUCCUGGUGUAGCGGUGAAAUGCGUAGAUAUCAGGAGGAACACCUGUGGCGAAAGCGGCUCACUGGACCAUAACUGACGCUGAUGCACGAAAGCUAGGGGAGCAAACAGGAUUAGAUACCCUGGUAGUCCUAGCCCUAAACGAUGACUGCUUGGUGUGACGGGUACCCAAUCCCGCCGUGCCGUAGCUAACGCGUUAAGCAGUCCGCCUGGGGAGUACGGUCGCAAGGCUGAAACUCAAAGGAAUUGACGGGGG
rnacentral:rRNA from 1 species